rnacentral:lncRNA from 1 species
AGAAAUAUUGCAGGUGGUGACUCAAGAAGUUGAGGCACUCAUGUGAAGAGCCACUAAGGAGGCAUAAAAACCAUCUUUGAUAUGAAUCAGAGUCUCAUGCUUGCCUUUCUCUACGAUAACUCCAUUUUUCACCACGGCAAUAACAUCUGCGUUCUUGAUUGUAGAUAAUCGGUGGGCGACGACGACCGUAGUCCUGUUCACCAUUACUCGGUCCAGGGCAUCUUGAACCACUCUUUCAGAUUCGGCAUCCAGUGCACUGGUAGCCUCAUCCAGCAGAAGUAUUUUGGGACUUUUGACUAUGGCACGAGCAAUGGCCACCCUUUGUUUCUGUCCGCCGGAUAAUUGGAUUCCUCUCUCCCCUACAACGGUAUCGUACCCCUGCAUGUUGCAUUGCCAUAAGCAACCCAAAUUAACACCAGCAUCUUAGCAAAAUAUUCACUCGGAUAACAACAACCUGAAGAUAGUGCACGAAUGAUUUUCGAUUCUUAUCAAUGAAAACGCCAAUUAAAAGCCAUAUCAUAGCUGCUUGCUUGAGAAAUUCAAGUUACUAGCUACUUGCAAUUGAAUAAGAUUACAUCAAUGGAAACAUUUAACGAUAUCUGUUAUAUAAUGUUCUAACCUGUUGCAAACUACUGAUGAACUUGUGUGCAUUUGCUAGCUCCGACGCAGCUAGAAUUUCCGCUUCCGUUGCAUCGCCUUCCUUUCCAUAUGCAAUGUUGGCGCGGAUUGUUUCAUUGAAGAGAACUGGUUCUUGGCUC